rnacentral:ncRNA from 1 species
UUGUUGUAUGAAAGGAGAAAACGUUAGCACUCCCCUUGACAAGGAUGGAAGAGGCCCUUGGGCCUGACCACAUGCAUAUGAUUUUGUCAAUUAAUUAAUUAAUUGU